ACCUAAAAAGAAGAAAAAGAAGGUGCCACCAGCCAGUACCGAGACUAGUAUUGUGCUUGCAGCACCUGCACAAAAGAUGGUCUUUCCUGUCGUACCGAGUGUUGCAGAUCUAUCAAAGAAAAGGAAGAACAAAUCAUCCUCAACAACUGGUGCGAAGAAACAAAAGAGAACUUCAGCUGCUGAGGCUAGUGACCCCUCUGUGAGGGGGUCUGCACAAGAUUCAAAUCAGCUAGAUCUUUUGGCAAUUACAUAUCCUUCUGGGCCAAGUGAGCAGCACAUGGAUGACAAGAGAACAAGUCAGCAGCAACACAAGAAGAAAAGGGCCAUUAAAAAAAAUUAACUCCAAACAAGUCUAGUCCAGCAACCCGCAGCAAGGUCCCUAGUUCUCCUUCUAGUCCGGCCAUGGGAACCAGAAGCAAGAAAAAACUAAAUCUUUGAUGAGUUUGCAUCUGUAUGACAUGCUUUUGUAAUACUUGAAUCUAUGUUUAGAGUUCAGACUAGUAAUGAGGUCAAUAUGGCCAUCUUUUGUGUGCAAACUUGACAUUUGAUCAAGCUGACUAUGCACGUUGAUGAUGUAUUUGGACCUCUUUUAUGUCUAAUUCUGUUUACUUAAAUACUAAUUGUGGUUGUGUUGAUUGUUCAA